rnacentral:rRNA from 1 species
GACAGAGGAUGCAAGCGUUAUCCGGAAUGAUUGGGCGUAAAGCGUCUGUAGGUGGCUUUUAAGUCCGCCGUCAAAUCCCAGGGCUCAACCCUGGACAGGCGGUGGAAACUACCAAGCUGGAGUACGGUAGGGGCAGAGGGAAUUUCCAGUGGAGCGGUGAAAUGCGUAGAUAUUGGAAAGACCACCAAUGGCGAAGGCACUCUACUGGGCCAUUACUGACACUGGAGAGACGAAAGCUAGGGGAGCAAAUGGG